rnacentral:lncRNA from 1 species
UUGCCGAAGAAAGGGAGAGCUCCUCUUGGUCUAUGAUUACAUGCCCCACGGAAGCCUUGAUAAACUCCUAUUUCACAAUGACACACCCAGCUUUAAUUGGGUUCAUCGAUAUCAGGUCCUCAGAGGAGUUGCGUCUGCCCUUCUUUACCUCCAUGAAGAGUGGGAACAGGUUGUUCUUCAUAGAGAUGUUAAAGCUAGCAAUAUACUGUUAGAUGAUGAUUUCAAUGGUCGACUAGGAGAUUUUGGGCUUGCUAAAUUCUAUGAUCGUGGGGCUAAUCCUCAAACAACCUGUGUGGUUGGAACAGUUGGAUAUAUCGCGCCAGAGGUUACUAGAACAGGAAGGGCCACUACCAGCAGUGAUGUUUUUGCUUUUGGCACUUUUAUGCUUGAAAUGGCCUGUGGAAGGAAACCUGUAGAGCCAGAACAAUCAGCAGAAAAGAUGAUUUUGGUUGACUGGGUUCUUGACUCCUGGAAAAUAGGAGACAUUCUUCGAACAGGUGAUCCAAGAUUGGAAGGUAAUUACGUGGUGGAGGAAAUGGAAUUGGUUUUAAGGCUAGGUCUGCUUUGUUCUUUCUCCACACCACAAGCUAGGCCAAGCAUGAGGAAAAUUUCGCAAUAUCUGGAUGGGAAUGCUAGCCUGCCAGAGAUGCCUCUUGAUGGUGCUAGCAUAGGUUUGAUGCCAGUUAGUCAUGAAGAGCCUGGGGAUUUCACCUUGUCUUUCCAUAGAUCUAAUGAUUACUCUGCUCAUUCCUUCUCUAGUACCGACUCAAUCCUCAGCUGUGGUCGUUGAAUCAUGGCUUAACGAGGUAAAAAUUCUUUAAUCUAAAGACUAACAGCUGGCAUGUGGAAGGUAGAUUGGAAUACUUAGAGGGUUACCUUGUUUGUGCAUACCAUAGUAAUCCUCAAAGCACAACAAAGACUGCUCCAUGAGGGGUUAAUUAAUUAGCAUACAAACAUAGGUAUAAUUUAUGAUUUAAGCAAAACACAUGGUUGAAAUAGUACAAUGUUUGAUGUACAAUGCUGGUCAAUGAUGGCCGUGUAGCUUCUUCCAUUCUCCUCAGUGCUCUAACCCCACCCCACAAUUCAACUCAACUAUGCCUCAUUCCCAAACUAGUUAGAAUCAGUUUCACAGAUCUUCCUUCUCCAUUCAUUUAGUCCUUGUUCCUUUUUUGAUAAAACUCUCCACUUACUUCUGUUAUGGACUCAAAUGAUUAAUCACCUAUGCCUACCUCGUUUUUACAUGGAAGGUUAAUUACAUAUUGAAAUAUUCUGACUUCUGAUAUAGUGAUCUGCAGAAGCAUAGGCUUCAGUCAACUUUCUAAAAUACAGAAAAUCCAACACCCAGUAUCAUCGAUUAUCCUAACUAGAGUGCAGUUCAGUGUGAUAUAGCUGCUGGCUGGGUGGUUUAUUCACAGACUAGUAGUGGAAUAAAAAAAAUGGUGAUAAGGUAUCUUGAUGCUGAUGUUAUACACACAUAUAACUGUUUUAAUCUUUCUACAAACAGUCAAGAUUGCAAAAACCACGUUCAAGGAAGAAAGAAGAUAUAGACAGCAGCUUUGUAGGUUGAAAAGGGAUUAAAACACCAGCCAAGAAAAAGUAAAAGAAACAUUGCAACAAAAUUUGCAAUAAGAAGGCAGCAAUAUUAAUAACCCUGCUUUCAGAAAGAGUGUACAUAGUCAAUUACCUAAUGAAAAGGCUAGAGAUGUCUGAUCAAUAAGUUUCCAUCAUUUCUCCUGGUUAUUGGGUCACAGCUUGUUGCAGAUGAGGCAGCGCAACCUCUUGGGACAGAGUACGUUCACUUGCUGUGCAGCCUUUCCUGCAUCCAACUACCCUUAGUGAUUAAACAGACUCUAAUUUAUCAAGCAUGGAGAUUAGUUGUAAUGAUCAACUUUAAUUCUAAUUUGGGUCCCUCAAAGAACUUACACAGAGCAAGGUAAACAUGAAGUGACUUGAUUCCAUCUUAGGAAAAACAAGCUCAUACUGGAAAAGAUUUAACAGACAUUAGCCUCCCCGAAAAAUACCACAAAAAAAAAAAAAAACAAAAACAAAAGGAAGUUGAUACAGAUGCAGGAUAGCCAUCAACGUGAAAAUUACCGGUACUGAUGUGUUCAUAUGAACUUAUGGUGCCCGUGUGAGCUUGGAAGAGAGAACCAACCACUCCCUUUCCUCCUGGUAAUAUCUUGCUGGUCACAGAGGUGUCAAAGGCAAGGACUGCAGCCAUGGAUCAACUGUUGUAGUGGCUGUGACUGACCAAAUCAGCUCACUAAGAUAAUCCGCCUAUAGGAAAAGAAAUGAAUCAGGGAAGGAUGAUCUGUGAGUGGUGUGGUUUUUAUUAUGAAAUAAAAGUUUGUUUUUGUAUUUUAAAAUGUUUUUUAAAAAUUUUAAUUUUGUUUUAAAUAAGUUUUUUUUAUGUUUUUAAAUAUGUUAAAAGUAAUUUUUAAAAAAAAUAUAUAUUAUUUUAAUAUAUUUUUAAACAAUAAAUACUUUAAAAAAUAACAUUAUUACACUAACAAAACAAAAUGAAAAAGCUUAAGAAAUAGCUAAUUAUCACUAAAAAGUGAAAGGGAGACAUCUUAAUGGCAAAGUGAUGGCUGAUGUGCCAAUGACAGCCAUGAAUACCACUUAUUGGGACUAUACAUAGACAAACAUCUGAUUGAUGAUGAUAGGCAGAGCUCAUGAAUAGCUUGAACCACAACCUUUUGAACAGUUCCAAGAUAUUUGAAAGUAUCUUGUGAGGUUGCAGCAAACUGGAUAAGCCACCCGUUCCGUCUUUUCCCUUUUGCAAGUAUCACAUGCUUAAUUGCUUACACAAACUAUUUAAAACUACUAAAGAAUUUUAAUAAAAGAAACGCCAGCUGAUUGCCAGUUUUGGCGAAACGUUCAAAAGGCUUUGGACAAGGUUGAAGUCGGAGACAAAUUCAAAGCUACAGUAGCCCUUAAUGCUGAUGUUUACAAAUCAUCUUCCAAUAACCCAUCUUCGACUGUUGGGAACGAGCCUUUCUUGUCAAGUUUUAAUAGCACUUGCGACAAUGUUACGUUUACGUUUCCACCAUUUCAAGACGUUCAUAAGGCUUAGGACAAUGAUGGAGUCAGAGACAAAAUCAAAGCUACAGCAGCCCUUAAUGCUGAUGUUCAUGAAUCAUCUUCCAACAAACAACCUGAUGGCAAUUUCCGUAACAACAUAAAGGAUGUCACGAUUCACACUGUGAAGUUCGUCAAAUUAAAGCUCAUAAUGGGAGAAGUUGGCUGGCCUACAGAUGGUAACAGUGCUGGCGAUUUGAAGAUCAUAAUGGGAGAAGUUGGCUGCCUACAGAUGGUAACAUUAAUGCCGACCCCAAAUUAGCUAAAACGUUCCAUGACGGUCUCUUUAAAGAAGGGAACCCCUGUCCGACGAGGUUAAUUGGAUGUGUAUCUCUUUGGCCUAAUCGAAGAAUCAGAAGAGCAUUGCACCAGGACAUUUCGAGAGACAUUGGGGGCUCUUUCGCUUCGAUGAACAGCUAAAAUUUCCAUGGAUUUAUCUGGACAAGGUGAUGAAGAGAUGCUAAUAGCAUCAUAUGGAGUCCAAUACAUGCCAUCUCAAUGGUGUGUGCUUGAUGAGGAAAAUAAGAACUUGACCAUGAUAAAAUUGAAAUCAGCUAUGCCCUGCUCUUUGGUCGUGAAUGUUGAAUAUUUAGAUAGCAUUUGGAAAUGCAGUUUUUUAAUUUUUUUAAUUUAAAAUUAUUUUUUUAUAUUUUGGAUUAUUUUGAUGUUAUGAUAUUAAAAAUUAUUUUUUAAAAAAUUAAAAUUAUUAUUUUUAUAUAUUUUUAUAUAAAAAGUAAUUUAUAAAAUAACAUCUAUCAUCUUCAAAUAUCUUCUUGCUAGAGCUCCGCCUUGGCAUGCAUGCCCACUAGGGGUGUUCACGGUUCGGUUCGGAUCGGUUUUUAUCAAAAAAAGUAACCAAACCGAAAUUUUUUUUUAAAAAAAAAAACCGAAACCGGUUCAAACCGACCGGUUUCGGUUCGGUUCGGUUCGGUUUUUUAGAGAAAAAACCGGUUCAAACCGGUUUGGCUCGGUUUUUCCGGUUUGGCUCGGUUUUUUCGGUUUGGCUCGGUUUGGCUCGGUUUUUUUCGGGUUCGGUUCGGUUCGGUUUUUCCGGUUCCAGGCUUAAAAAACCGAAACCGAACCGAACCGGUCGGUUUUUUCAAAAUUUUAAUCGGUUUAAUCGGUUUUUUUUUUCGGUUCGGUUUUUUUGGUUAUUUUUUUUCCGGUUUUCUCGGUUUAAUCGGUUUUUCGGUUUUUUUGAACACCCCUAAUGCCCACUACCCAUCUUUAUUAAUUGUGUCUAUGGUUUUGGUUAUCUUGUUUUUCUAUUUUUUUUUCUUGUAAAUGACAAGUUUCAUUAUGUAUUUUGUUUUUCAUUUAUAUAUGUUUUUAUAUUUUUCUCCAAAAUUUUAAAAUUAAAUAUUUAUUAUCAUAAAAUUUUAUUCUUGUCAAUUGUCAUAAUUCUUUGAAAAUUUUUGAAGCAUGUCAUUAUGCUUAAAGAUAUUUAAGUUUUUUAUUUAUAAAAAUAAAAUUACAUAUCUGAAAAUUUAUAUUUUUUUUAUUUUUACAAUCAUAAUUUCAUUUGAAUAAUUUAUAAUAAUGGUCGUAUAAAAAAAGAAUAGAUUAUAAUUAUAAAUUGUUUUAUAAAUGAGAAAAAACAUACAUUCAAAAAAGAUAUUAUGAAAUAUUUUUUGAAAGAAAAAACAAUUAAAGGUAAUUUUUUAAAUAUAUAAAGCACAAUUAAAUUUGAACUUUCUUGGAAGAUAAGCUAUAAAAAUAAAUUUAUUGAUCUUAAGAAUUAGCACAAGAAGAUUUAUUGACAAUUUAUCUUUAAAAAUUAAAUUUAUAGAUACUUCUUUCAACUUCCUCUUUCUCUUUCUAUUUUAAAGUUGUGUGGCACAAAAAUUACACGUUGAAGGAAAGAACGUGUGUAUAUCCUCUUUUUAAGUGUGUGUUUAGUAGUGCAUUAUAUGUUAUUUUUUAAAAGUAUUUUUAAUUUAAAAUAUAUUAAAAUAAUGUAUUUUUAUAUUAAUACAUUAAAAUUAUAAAAUAAAUUUAAAACAAAUAUUAAAUUAAUAUUUUUUUCAUAUAAAAAAUUGGCUUAACAAACAUUAUAAAAAAUAAAUCGAACCACAAAAACAAUAGCAGCCUUAAAUGCAACCAAACAUGCUUAAAGCAAGCAUUAGGUUUUAAUAAUAAUAAUAAUAAUAAGAAGCGAGCAAGGGUUGCAUACCCGAGCGAUGAUUGCAGACCCAGUUUCCAAACCCUCACCCCUAAGCUGCAGACCCACUUGCCAAGGUUUGCAGAACCCCGCGCUUGGGGUGUGCAGAACUAGGAGCGGGGUGUAGACCCACCCGUCUGGGUUUCUUCUAUUGCGCCUGAGGUCUGCAGACCCCCCAGGAGUUGUAGAACCCGUAGAGAAAAUUAACAAAUUUGAAAAAAAAAUGAAAACAAAUAUAAUAACUAAUAACAAUUAUUAUUGUUAUUGUUAUUGUUAUUAUUAUUAUUAUCGUAAAUAAAUUUUAUAAAAAUAUUAUUACUAUAAAAACUUGGACUAGACAAGUUUAAUAUUAUUAUUAUUAUACUAAAUAUUAUUGUUAUUUAUUGUUGUCAUUAGUAAAUUGAAAACAAAAUUAUUAUUUAUUGUUAUCAUUUCAGGUGGGGUUGAAUUUCCUUAUUAAAACAUGUUUUGUUUUGGUUUUUAAAAAUGCUUUGAAACAAAUUUGACAAUUUUUUAUUUUUUUCAUUACUUCAAAUUAAUAUUUUUUCUUUUAAUUCAUAUUAAGAUGUUUUUGUAUUAUUUUGAUGUGAUUAUAUAAAAAAUAGAUUUAAAACAAUAAAAAAUAUUAUCUCAAUAUAUUUCAAAAAAAAUAUUUUAAGAUAUUUUCAAUUUUAUUUUUUUCCCUCUUCAAAUAUUUUUUUCUCUUAUUGAUUUUUUUCAUACUGUAAAGAGAAAAUAAAUUAAUGUGACUUUUUUUUAUAUUAUACAAAAGUUGGGUGAUGAUAAUUUUUUUUCAUUUCAAGUUGGGUUGAAUUUUCUUAUUAAAGUAUGUUUGGUUUUGCGAUUCAAAAAUGGUUUGAAAAAAAUUUAAAUUUUUUUUAUUGUUUUCUUUACUUCAAAUUAAUAUUUUUUAUGUUUUUAUAUUUUGUUUUUAAAUAUAUUGAGAUUGAGUCUGGUUGCAUAGCCACACCAAAAAGAAUAUAUUAAGUUGGGUCCUAUCCAGCAGGACCCAAAAUAGCUUUGGGUCCAGCCGCCGCUGGACCCAUCAGCCUUGGGUCUUGUCCCUAACAGGAUCCAUCAGCGUUAAGUCCUGCUCCUAGCAGGACCCAUCACUAUUUUUUUUUUUUUCUUUUCUAUUGGGUCAGGCAUUUUCUUCCAGAACCAAGAAACUUGGGUAAGAAACGACGCCUCACCCAAGGAGCUUGGGUGUGGCUAGGCACAGACCCAAAUCCAAAUCCCUUUGGUCUUAAAGACCCGCCUGGCCCAAGAUUAUUGGUCCUUCGUCAGGACCUAAGGCUAAUGGGUUAUGCGUCAGGAAUCAAGGCUAAUAGGUCGUGAGUCAAAACCCAAUGUUCUUGGGUCCUGUGUCAGGACCCAAUUUCCUUAGGUUAUGUCAGGACCCAAAACUAAUGGAUGUGACAUCAAGACCCAAGAUUCUUGGAUCUUAGAUUUCUAAAUAUAAUUAUUUAUGAUAUAAAUAUAAUUAUUUUUAUUAUAAUUAAAAGUACUAAUAUUAAAAAUAGUAUUAUUUGUGAUAUAAAUAUUACUAUUUUUAAAAUAAUUAAUAAAUUUGAAAAACAUUAUUAUCAGUAUUGAAAAACAACUAUAGAUUUCAUUUGAAGUGUAAAAUAAUUAAUAAUAAUAAUAAUAAUUAAAUUUUAAAAAAAUAUUAUUAUUAUCGAAGAAAAAACAUAUUUUUUUUAAGAUUAAAAAAAUAAAAAAUUUGGCUGACAAGUUAAAUAUUAAUAUUAAUAUUAUAAAUAUUAUUGUUGGAUUUAGCGUUGCAGCCAGACGCAACGCUCAUGGGUUCGUCGUUGCAGCCAAACUCAACACUUUUAGAUCUUAGAUUUUUAUUAUAUCUUUUUAUUAAAAUAAAAGGUGAGCCCGGGCCGUAGUGCGGGCAAAUAAGAAAAAUGAAAAAAAUAUCAAUUAUUAUUAUUAUUAUUAUCGUUAAUAAACUUUUUUAAAAACAUUUUUACUAUAAAAAAUUUGGCCAGACAAGUUCAAUACUAUUAUUAAUAUGAUAAAUAUAAUUAUUUGUAUUCUAAAUAUUAUUAUUUUUAUUAUAAUUAAAAGUAUUAGUGUUAGAAAUAUUAUUAUUUGUGAUAUAAAUAUUAUGAUUUUUUUUAUAAUUAAUAUUAUUAAUAUUAAAAAUACUAUUUUUUAUUAUAAAUAUUAUAAUUUUUAUUAUAAUUAAUAUUAUUCUUAUAAUAAUUAAUAAAUUUGUAGAAAAUAUUAUUAAUAUUGAAAAAAAUAGAUUUAAUUUGAAGGGUAAAAUUAAGAAUUAUUAUUACUAUUAUUGUUGUUGUUAUUGUCAUUACUAGAUUUUAAAACAAAAUUACUAUUGUCAUAGAAGAAAAGCAUAAUUAUUUUUUAAAAGAUUGAAAAAUAUGAGAAUUUGGGCAGAGAAGUUAAAUAUUAUUAUUAAUAUUAUAAAUAUUAUUAAAUUCAUUAAUAUUAUUACAAUAAAAAUAAAUAUUAUUGCUAUUAAAGAAAACAUAGAUUUGAUUUGAAGGGUAAAAUCAAUUAUUAUUAUUGUUAUUGUUAUUGUUAUUAUUGUUAUUAUUAUUAUUAUUAUUAUUAUUAUUACUAUUAUUUUCUUCACUUCAAAUUAAUAUUUUUUCUUAAUUCAUAUUAAGAUGUGUUUGUAUUAUUUUGAUGUGAUUAUAUAAAAAAUAUAUUUAAAAAAAUUAAAAAAAUAUUAUCUCAAUAUAUUUUUUAAAAAUAUUUUAAGAUAUUUCCAAUUUUAUUUUUUACUCUCUUGAAAAAACAUUUCUUUUUUCUUAUUGAUUUUUUUUUCAAACUGUAAAAAAAAAUUAAAUUAAUGUGACUUUUUUUAUAUUAUACAAAAGUUGGGUGAUGAUAAUUAUUUUUUCAUUUCAGGUGGGGUUGAAUUUUCUUAUUAAAGCAUGUUUGAUUUUGGUUUUCAAAAAUGCUUUGAAAAACAUUUGACAAUUUUUAUUUUUUGUCUUUACUUCAUAUUAUUAUUUUUUCCUUUAAUUGAUAUUAAGAUAUUUUUGUAUUAUUUUGAUGUGAUUAUAUAUAAAAUAGAUUUAAAAAAUAAAAAAAAUUAUCACAAUAUAUUUUUUUAAAAAUAAAAAAUAUUUUAAGAUAUUUCCAAUUUUAUUUUUUUCCCUCUUGAAAUUUGUUUCUUUUCUCUUAUUGAUUUUUUUUUAUACUGUAAAGAGAAAAUAAAUUAAUAUGACCUUUUUUUAUAUUAUACAAAAGUUGGGUGAUGAUAAUUUUUUUUUUCAUUUCAAGUUGAGUUGAAUUUCAUUAUUAAAGCAUGUUUUGUUUUGCGUUUUAAAAAUGCUUUGAAAAAAAUCUGAAAUUUUUUUAUUGUUUUCUUUAUUUUAAAUUAAUGUUUUUUAUGUUUUUAUAUAUAUUUUUAUUUUGUUUUUAAGUAUAUUGAGAUUAGGUCUGGUUGCGCAGUUACAUCCAAUGAGAAUAUAUUAAGUUGGGUCUUGUCCCGAGAAGGACCCAAAAUAGCUUUGGGUCCAGCUGCCGCUAGACCCAUCAGCAUGGGUCCUACCUCUACAAGGACCCAUCAAUAAUUGUUUUUCAUUUUUUUUUUCUUUUCUCUUGGUUUGGGCAGUCUCUUCCAGACCCAAAAAACUUGGGACAGGAAAAGGAGGGCACACCCAAGGGAGCUUGGGUGUGGUUAUGGAGUAGACCCAAAUCCCUUAGGUCUACAACUCCGUUUGACCCAAUAUUAUUGGUCCUUCUUCAGGAUCCAAUUUUUUGGGUCCUGAGUUAGGACCCAAGGCUAAUGUGUCCUGCGUCGGGAUCCAAUGCUCUUGGGUACUGAGUCAGGAUCGAAUUCUCUUGGGCUGUGUUAGGACCCAAAGUUCUUGUGUCCAUCAUCAGAACCCAAGGCUAAUAAGUUCUGCAUUAUGACUCAUGGUUCUUGUGUGUUAGGUUUCUAAAUAUAAUUUUUUGUAUUAUAAAUAUUAUUAUUUUUAUUAUAAUUAAAAGUAUUAAUAUUAAAAAUAGUAUUAUUUGUGUUAUAAAUAUUAUUAUUAUUAUUAAAAUAAUUAAUAAAUUUAAAAAAAAUUAUUAUUUGAUUUGAAGUGUAAAAUUAAUAUUAUUAUUAUUAUUAUUAUUAUUAUUAUUAUUAUUAUUAUUAUUAUUAAAUUUUAAAAAAUUAUUAUUACUAUGAAAGAAAAACCAUAAUGUUUUUUUUUGAAAGAUUAAAAAAAUAAAAUUUUUGACAAACAAGUUAAAUAUUAUUAUUAAUAUUAUAAAUAUUAUUGUUGGGUUUUGCAUUACAGUCAGACUCAACGCUCUUAGAUCCGAUAUUACAGCCACACCCAACGUUUUUAGAUCUUAGAUUUUUAUGAUAUUUUUUUUAUUAAAAUAAUAGGUGAGCCCGCAGCAUUACUCUUACGUAAAAAUUAAUGAGUUAAAAUUGAAAAUGGGUUUGGAUUUCCUUAAUUUUACCCUGGAUUGGAUUAUGUGAAAAAAAAUUAAAAAGUUACCCUAAAUUUUAUAAGUUUAUAAUACUUUAAAUUAAUAAAAAAAAUUAAAGUAUUAUAAGUUUGUCAUUAUAUUAUAUGUUUCACGUCAUUUGGGUUGCCAUUGUCAAAACCAUAGUUAUUAAACCCGGCCCGGGGUUGACCCGGCCAAGAGGCCGGGUCCCGGGUUUCAUAGGUCAACCCGGAAAAAUUAAAAAAAAAAUUAAAGUUUUAAUAUUUCAUAUGAAAAAAUCCAUGUAAAUAUAAAUUAUACAUAUUGUAAACAAUGAAGUUUAAAAGAAUAUUUUAAAAAGGUUUUUAUCCCACAUAAAAAAAAUAUUAUGUUAAGUUUUUAAGUUGAAGUAUUUAAACUAAAAACGUUUUUUAUCCCACAUUGAAAAAACAUGAUUUUUUACUUGGGAACAUAAAGUAUAUAUAACAAUGGGUUUCAAAUCUCACAUUUAAAAAAAAAAACUGGAUCUCGUUCAAGUUUAUCCGGGUCGCCUGAGUCAUGAGUUGACCUGCCGGGUCACCCGGAUUUAGCUGUACUGUUGCCCCAACCAGUCUUUUACUAAACCAAGUAGCAGGGCCAAGUCCUCUUCCUUCGACAUCGAAGCUUCUAUAUGCUUCAAUGCUGUUGAAUUUGCCGACGGCUGUUUUUAAUGAUUCAAUAAUUUAUUAUGAAGAUUAAAUUGCUUGUCACUUAAUGUAAACGGUCUAAAUACAAAUUGCUUAUCGGGAUUCAAACAAUUUUAUCUUAAAAUAUUGCACUAUAAAUCAUGACCUAUAAAUAUUUAAAUUUUUUAAGAUUAAUUUUUUAUUUAUUUAUAAUUAAUUUUAAAUUUAUUAUUUUUUAUAUUAAAAUAAUUAAUUAAUUUGACAAAUUUGUUUAUUAAAUGAUUGUAUCGUUCUUCUGCAUAGAGUCAAAGAUGGCCACCUAGGAAGAACGUCGUUGAAAUGGAUUUUUCACCCUUCAAAUUAAAUUAAAUUAUAAAUAAAUAAAUAAAUCUCAGACACGUGCUUGACUAAGUUUAUUCAUUGGAAUGGUGCGUUCGCAGAUUUGCCCUUGCACUGAAAUAUUGAGGUCAAUUUAGUCUUUUCACGGGAUCCAAAUUAAUCUCAGACACGUACACUUACAAGCAAAAACAAUUAACUUGUAUUCAGGUGCUUUUUUAUCUUUUUAAACUGAUUUUUUUUAUUAUAAUAAAGUUAAUUUACAAGCAAUUUGAUUAUUUAAUAAAUCUAUUUAUAUUAAAAAAAACCUGGCACGUGGGCUUUUCUUAUGCUAUUUGUGUGGCUGGUACCAUGAUGUUUGGAAGGCAAAUAGUGGUUUUCAAGGCGGUGUUGAAAUCGUCUUGACAGUUCUUUCAUGUUUAGGUUACGCUUGUGGUCAACCAAUCUAAGAUUUAGUGCUAAUAACUUUCUUUUUUUCCUUCUUGAUUUCUGCACUUGACCCUCUGAAAUUUAAAACCAGCCUUUCAAAUUAUUUUUUCUUGGAAUUUGAUCUCUUUUCUUGUAAUUAUUAUUUGUUUUAUUUGAAAUAAUUUAUAGAAUUAAAAUUUUUUUCAACUUCAUCAUCCUUCAACUUUUUCAUCUAUUAAAUUUGGUCCUUAUUUAUUCAUUUUAGAUGGUUUUUAGAAUUAAUUUUUUUUCAUGAUUUUAUUCUCCAAUUUUUUUCUAUCAAAUUUUAUCCUCAUUUUCUCCUUUAUUUAAGCUCGGAUCUCUUUAGCUUCAUCAUUCGGUAUUUAUUUAAUAAGAGAUUAGACUCCGUUAUUUUUUUAUUUUAUUUCUAUAGAAACUUUCAUUGGUUAUGAAAAUAACGUGGGUUAUAUUGAGUCUUUUUAUUUGUUGCUCUUUGUUAAAUUUAGCUUUUUUUGAGAAAUUUAAUUUUUUAUUAAAUUAAAUUAAUUAAUUAAAUAUAAGCAUGAAAUGCUCAUUUCAUGAUAUUUUACUUGGUUUUAUUUCUGGUGAUAAGACGGUGUUCACAGACUUUUCCUUCAUUUGCUAUUGGGUCUUAUAUUGGUAACUCAUUUUUUAUAGUUAACUAUUGCAAAAAAAAAUUAUUUUAUUUACCGUUGAUAUCUUUUUUAAUCAUAUUAUUAAAUUAAUCAAGCUUAUUGAAUCAAGUCAAAUUAAUUACCUAAAUCUCAAAUUUGUUUUGCUUCUUUAAAAAUGUUGGCGCCCUUGAAUAUUUUUUUUUGUCAAUUUUUUUUUUAUAUAUCUAUUAUCAUUGUAUUUUUUUUACUCGUAUUAUUUAAAUUAAUCUAACUUAUUAAUUCCCAUAAAAAAUGACUGGAGUCUCAUUAACUUUUUAAAACAUUUUAGAAACAAUUGUGCCAUCUUAGCAUCUUUUUUACCGUUAAAAAAAAAAACUUCAGCCUAUGCAAGCCAUCCAUCUAGUUUCAAUCUAGUACCCCAUUUCCAUUGCUCAUAAGAAUCAGGCUUGAACAUCCUUUUAUUUUGGUUUAGAUAAAUUAAAGAAAUGCCAUUGCAGUGCUCUUUGUUACUUCAAUCUUCUUUUUACCCUAAACUAAGUAGAGUUCCUUCAACACUUUAAAUCUGUGAACAAACUAGGGAAUUCUGGAAAACCAGGUCUGAAUCUGGACACUUGCGCACCGCAUGUCCGAGCAACAGAGGUUUAAAACUAUUGAUUCAAUCUUCAAUAUUCAGUAAAAUGAUAAUUAUUUUGGAAGUCCAAUUAGUAAUAGAAUUUAUUUCUUGCCAUAGAAGAUUUUAGAAUUUUAUUUUCAUUGACCUUGUAUCCACUUUGAAAAGUAGUUUUCCCUAUUUUUUUCCAAGAAAAAGCUUUGAAGAAGGUUCGAAUGCGCCCAAGUCAUAGCAAUGUGACGAGAAUUGUUUAUAAUUCAGUCUUUAGACUGAGGAUUUGAAACUGUAACAACAAUUAAGGAGAAACUCGAAGCGAAAAAAGUUUGUUUUCUUUUACCAAUUAAUGUGUAACUGAAGAAGCAAAAGCAAUCUUCUGCACGUUCUUAUGAUGAUUGCAUCGUUCAAAUCAUUGCACUUUCUACUCGGCCUGUUUGUUUCCUUGAAGCUCUUGGCCUUAGCUCAAGAGGAAAACCACUUCAUCUAUCAUGGCUUCACUGGCGCCAACCUGCUCCUCAGCGAGAAUGCAAAAAUCGAUCCAAAUGGUCUCUUAGAGCUGACAAACACUUCAAAACGGCAAAUUGGCCGUGCUUUCUUCCCAUUCCCUUUUCAGUUCAACACAUCUUUAUUCAACAAUUCUCGGUCUCUCUCGUUCUCUACCCAGUUUGCGUUUGCCAUGGUCCCUGAGCUGCCUACACUUGGUGGCCAUGGCAUGGCCUUCACAAUCUCUCCAUCUGUGGACUUCACAGGGACUAUGGCAACUCAAUACUUUGGAAUCCUCAAUUCUACAAGCAAUGGCCUGUCUUCAAACCAUCUAUUGGCAGUUGAGCUGGAUGCAGUUCCAAGCCCGGAUCUUAAAGACAUCAAUGACAACCACGUUGGAAUUGAUGUAGACAGCUUGAUAUCCAUUGAAUCUGCUCCUGUGACCUACUUUUCAGAUAAGGAAAAGGAGAAUAAGAGCUUGACUCUCACAAGUGGUCACGUGAUGCACGUGUGGAUAGAUUAUGAUGAAGUAGAGAAGCUACUCAAUGUUACCGUUGCUCCUGUCACAAGAACAAAACCAACCUUGCCUCUCUUGUCAACAUCUCUCGAUCUUUCUUCUGUUAUGUUGGAUUCUAUGUACGUUGGUUUUUCUGCAUCUACUGGAGCAGUGGCUAGCAGCCACUAUAUUCUGGGGUGGAGCUUCAACAGAGGCGGACAAGCUCAAAGUCUUGACGCCUCAAAGAAAAUCCAGAAAGAAACCAUAUUUAAGAAUUCUGGUCCCAACAAUAACAGCAAUCAUUUUGCUGGUAGCAUUCUCUGGUGCUGCUUAUAUCAUAAGGAGGAAGAAAUAUGAAGAACUGCGCGAAGAUUGGGAACAGGAGUAUGGUCCUCAAAGAUUCUCCUACAAGGAUUUAUACAAAGCAACUACAGGUUUCACGGACAGGAAGUUGCUGGGAAGUGGAGGUUUUGGAAAGGUUUACAGAGGAGUAUUGCCUUCUUCCAAUAUGCAAGUCGCGAUCAAGAAAGUAUCCCAUGAUUCCAAACAAGGAACUAAGCAGUUUGUUGCUGAGAUUGCUAGCAUGGGAAGGCUGAGGCACAGGAACUUGGUCCAGCUCCUAGGCUAUUGCCGGAGAAAGGGAGAGCUCCUCUUGGUCUAUGAUUACAUGCCCAAUGGAAGCCUUGAUAAACUCCUAUUUCGCAAUGACACACCCAGCCUUAAUUGGGUUCAGCGAUAUCAGGUCCUCAGAGGAGUUGCGUCCGCCCUUCUUUACCUCCAUGAAGAGUGGGAACAGGUUGUUCUGCAUAGAGAUGUGAAAGCUAGCAAUAUACUGUUAGAUGAUGAUUUCAAUGGUCGACUAGGAGAUUUUGGGCUUGCUAAAUUCUAUGAUCGUGGGGCUAAUCCUCAAACAACCUGUGUGGU